GUUCCAUAUACAUAUUGUUGCUUCCUGCCAGUGUAGCAUUCAUUUACUCUAGGAAAAUCUACAGCAGAUUCUGAGAGUUUCCUCUGUGAAGCUAAACCAGAUUUAAGAUUGAAUCUCAUCUCAUACAGCUCAUUUGAGAAGUUCUCAAGCUUAUCUUUAACAGAUCCACUGACCAUGUCCAAGUCUGGAUUCUCAAGACGGCAAGUAAUCAAAACUACU
rnacentral:misc_RNA from 1 species